GAUGAACGCUAGCGGCAGGCUUAAUACAUGCAAGUCGAGGGACAGCACAGGUAGCAAUACUGGGUGGUAACCGGCAAACGGGUGCGGAACACGUACACAACCUUCCUUUAAGUGGGGGAUAGCCCAGAGAAAUUUGGAUUAAUACCCCGUAAUAUAGUUGAAUGGCAUCCUUUGAUUAUUAUAGCUACGGCGCUUAAUGAUGGGUGUGCGGCGGAUUAGAUAGUUGGCGGGGUAACGGCCCACCAAGUCUACGAUCAGUAGCUGAUGUGAGAUCAUGAUCAGCCACACGGGCACUGAGACACGGGCCCGACUCCUACGGGAGGCAGCAGUAAGGAAUAUUGGUCAAUGGACGCAAGUCCGAACCAGCCAUGCCGCGUGAAGGAUUAAGGUCCUCUGGAUUGUAAACUUCUUUUAUUUGGGACGAAAAAGGGCCUUUCUAGGUCAACUGGCGGUACCAGAUGAAUAAGCACCGGCUAACUCCGUGCCAGCCGCCGCGGUAACAC
rnacentral:rRNA from 1 species